GGGCCGGUGGUCUAGCGGCUAUGACGCCGCCCUUACACGGCGGAGGUCCCCGGUUCGAAUCCGGGCCGGCCCA
rnacentral:tRNA from 1 species